UAAGUUCGGACACUUUUUAGCGCGGACCCGACGUCCAUAUAAUUCUAAGUCAAUGAUCUUGGGGCAUAUUCUGUAAGAUCCCUCAGCCAUUUUGGAUUUUGUCGGACCACGCUGUCACACCUGUUGGAGUGGUCGACGUCACGCACCCGUCAUCGACUGGUGCUGCCAUCGUCAAUGUCACCGGCGCCAUCUGCGGACGCCUCUAACAAUGGGACAGAAAUAGAAAUAGAAGAUGCACCGAAGAAAAAUGGAACCAAUGGAGAGGAUUUUAAGUGAUCGGGCGAAGUAUCUACAUCCUAUCGU